AGAGUUUGAUCCUGGCUCAGGAUGGAACGCUAGCUACAGGCUUAACACAUGCAAGUCGAGGGGAAACGACAUCGAAAGCUUGCUUUUGAUGGGCGUCGACCGGCGCACGGGUGAGUAACGCGUAUCCAACCUGCCCACCACUUGGGGAUAACCUUGCGAAAGUAAGACUAAUACCCAAUGAUAUCUCUAGAAGACAUCUGAAAGAGAUUAAAGAUUUAUCGGUGAUGGAUGGGGAUGCGUCUGAUUAGCUUGUUGGCGGGGUAACGGCCACCAAGGCGACGAUCAGUAGGGGGUUCUGAGAGGAAGGUCCCCCACGAUUGGAACUGAGACACGGUCCAAACUCCUACGGGAGGCA
rnacentral:rRNA from 1 species